ACAUCGAUCUGUACGUGAAGGGGUUCCAAAGAACACUGCUUGUGUUCUAGCUUUCACCGUGAACUAUAAAUAUAUGCGUAAUCUUGAUUAUAUAUUUUCUUGAACAUUUGUGUACGUCCCACUCUUUGCAACACCUCAUCAUUCUUUUUGAUCAUCUUUUAUUGACAAAGGGUUAUAAAUGAUGUUUCAAUUAUUAUUUUAAACGUAUAUACAAUGGUACAUAUAUACACAGAAAAAAUGUGAAAAUAAACACUUGAAUUUUCUAAGAAGAAAUUAACUAAAAAUAAAGAUUGAUCCCGUGGAAUUAGUUAUCCAACACGUUGAAUUACACGAAGUAUACGUUUCUAAACAUAGUAUUAUCUAUUUUUAAUGUGUGUUUAAGUUUAUUUGUUACGAGUGUGUUUAGGUAGAUUACAAUUACUUUCACGAGAGAACACACAAGUUUUAUAGUAUCUCUAUCUUUAACCAUGAGAUCUGCUACUUGGUGUAUAGUUUCUUGUCUUCUCAUCUUUCUCGUAAUAACUGAUGGUAAAGGACCUAAAGUUGAUCCAGAUAAUAUAUGUCCAAGAAUAGAAGAUAUCGAAGGAAACUGCAAAGUUGAUGGACCGAAAGCUUGUGAGAAGUAUAUGUCGACAACUUAUAACGGUACCUAUUUUAAUUGCACAUGUGACAACGUCUACAUGUUACGUAAGAUCAAGCGUUAUUGCCGAUGUGACGAAAAAUGUCAAGACGCUCCACCUCCAUCGAUCCAGACUCGUUAAAUAACAUCUCAUUAGUCCUCACUAAUAACAAAAGAGAGAAGUUGUGAGAGUUUGUAGUACUGUGGAGAUCACACACGAAUAGGUUUUGUUAGUCACCAAAUCUUUCUUUUGUAAUAAAGUCAUGAGUUGAUAUUUUAUAACUAGUAUGAGUUUCUCAAUCAAUCUAUUUUCUAGAUUUUGUAGAAAUCCAGAUUUUAAAUUUUGUCACAAGAUGUUUAUACUGUUAAUAGUUUAUACUCUACAAAUUAAUAAUUUUAAGAAGUAUAAAUAUUUAAAAAAAUAUAGAACUAUUAAUUUAUGUUUAUUUAAAUAGCAUCAAAUUAAAAAAACAAAAUUAGUUUGUUAGUAUGACUUAAAAUUUAAACUUAUAAUUAAAAUAUAAUAACAAAAUUUUAAUUAAUGUUUAUUGAAAAUAUAAUAAACUGUAACAAGUUAUUUAAAAAAAAAUCACCGAAUAAGAAUUAACAUAUACCAAUUAUUUUUUACAGCAUAAAUACAAUUUUAUUACUUUAUUAAAUAAUAUAUGAUAAUUAGCCACCUUGAUUUAGUUAAUAUCAAUGAUAUCAUAUAGUUGGUAAUAUUUCUAAUGAGAUAUAAAAAUUGAAUUGGACCAACAUGUUUUUCAAUUUCAAUGUGAAGCUGACACGUAUGACUAAUUAACUACCUAAUUGAUUGACACAUAAGCAAGUGAUUUUUUUUAGUUAUUGCAAAAUUGAGCUCACAUCUUUUCAAAUGUUUCUCAAUUAAUAUAUAAGGGAUGCAACAUAAAUAAAAAAAUUGUUGAUUAAAUUAUCUUAUACUUUGAGUCAGCCUAAUUUAAUUCAUAGCAAUUUUAUUGUAUAAUAAUUGUUGAACAUGAAAAAAGAAUUGCAUGCCUGUUGGAAUUUACUAUAAAAAAAUUGAUACUCGAAUCAGUUAGCUCAGCACGUUGAAUUUUUACAAAGUAUAUGUUUCUAAAGAUAGAAUUAUCUAUUUUUAAUGUGUGUUUUAAGUUUAUAUAUUACGAGUGUGUUUACAAAGUAAACAAAUACUUGUCACGAAAAAAAACAAGUUAUAGUAUUCUGCAAGGAACAUUGUUUAACCAUGAGAUCUGCUAUGUGGUUUAUAAGUUUCUGUGUUCUUAUCAUUCUCGUAAUGAGUGAUGGUAAAGGAGCAAAAGAGAGUGAUCCAAAUCAGUUGUGUCCAAGAAUAGAAGAUAUCGAAGGAAACUGCAAAGUUGAUGGACCGAAAGUGUGCAUGAAUUAUAUGGCGGAAACUUAUAAGGAAAAGUAUAUUAACUGCACAUGUGAUAAUAUCAUCAUGUUACAUAAGAUCAAGCGUUAUUGCAAAUGUAACAUACGAUGUGUAGAUCUUCUACCUUCAGGUCGUUAAAUAAUGUACAUCACCUUACUAAUAAAAAAAUAGAGAAUUGUGAGUGUUUGUAGUUUUGAGAUGACACACAGGAUAAUAUUAUUUCAUUUUUUAAAAUUAU